rnacentral:rRNA from 1 species
AAUGAACGUUGGCGGCGUGGAUUAGGCAUGCAAGUCGAGCGAUGAAGCCGUGCUUGCACGGUGGAUUAGCGGCGAAAGGGAGAGUAACGCGUAGGUAUGUACCCUCGGGUCCGGGAUAGCGGCGGGAAACUGCCGGUAAUACCGGAUAACGUGUCCGCACCAAAGGUGUGAUUCCGCCCGGGGAGCGGCCUGCGUCCUAUUAGGUUGUUGGUGGGGUAAUGGCCUACCAAGCCGAAGAUGGGUACCGGGUGUGAGAGCAUGGCCCGGCUCACUGGGACUGAGACACUGCCCAGACACCUACGGGUGGCUGCAGUCGAGAAUCUUCCGCAAUGGACGCAAGUCUGACGGAGCGACGCCGCGUGCGGGAUGAAGGCCUUCGGGUUGUAAACCGCUGUCAGAGAGGCGGAAAUGCAUAGGGGCUAUCCCCUGUGUUUGACCUAAUCUCAGAGGAAGCGCAGGCUAAGUUCGUG